UUGAACGCUGGCGGCAGGCCUAACACAUGCAAGUCGAGCGGUAGCACAGAGAGCUUGCUCUCGGGUGACGAGCGGCGGACGGGUGAGUAAUGUCUGGGAAACUGCCUGAUGGAGGGGGAUAACUACUGGAAACGGUAGCUAAUACCGCAUAACGUCGCAAGACCAAAGUGGGGGACCUUCGGGCCUCAUGCCAUCAGAUGUGCCCAGAUGGGAUUAGCUAGUAGGUGGGGUAACGGCUCACCUAGGCGACGAUCCCUAGCUGGUCUGAGAGGAUGACCAGCCACACUGGAACUGAGACACGGUCCAGACUCCUACGGGAGGCAGCAGUGGGGAAUAUUGCACAAUGGGCGCAAGCCUGAUGCAGCCAUGCCGCGUGUGUGAAGAAGGCCUUCGGGUUGUAAAGCACUUUCAGCGGGGAGGAAGGCGAUAAGGUUAAUAACCUUGUCGAUUGACGUUACCCGCAGAAGAAGCACCGGCUAACUCCGUGCCAGCAGCCGCGGUAAUACGGAGGGUGCAAGCGUUAAUCGGAAUUACUGGGCGUAAAGCGCACGCAGGCGGUCUGUCAAGUCGGAUGUGAAAUCCCCGGGCUCAACCUGGGAACUGCAUUCGAAACUGGCAGGCUAGAGUCUUGUAGAGGGGGGUAGAAUUCCAGGUGUAGCGGUGAAAUGCGUAGAGAUCUGGAGGAAUACCGGUGGCGAAGGCGGCCCCCUGGACAAAGACUGACGCUCAGGUGCGAAAGCGUGGGGAGCAAACAGGAUUAGAUACCCUGGUAGUCCACGCCGUAAACGAUGUCGAUUUGGAGGUUGUGCCCUUGAGGCGUGGCUUCCGGAGCUAACGCGUUAAAUCGACCGCCUGGGGAGUACGGCCGCAAGGUUAAAACUCAAAUGAAUUGACGGGGGCCCGCACAAGCGGUGGAGCAUGUGGUUUAAUUCGAUGCAACGCGAAGAACCUUACCUGGUCUUGACAUCCACAGAACUUUCCAGAGAUGGAUUGGUGCCUUCGGGAACUGUGAGACAGGUGCUGCAUGGCUGUCGUCAGCUCGUGUUGUGAAAUGUUGGGUUAAGUCCCGCAACGAGCGCAACCCUUAUCCUUUGUUGCCAGCGGUUAGGCCGGGAACUCAAAGGAGACUGCCAGUGAUAAACUGGAGGAAGGUGGGGAUGACGUCAAGUCAUCAUGGCCCUUACGACCAGGGCUACACACGUGCUACAAUGGCAUAUACAAAGAGAAGCGACCUCGCGAGAGCAAGCGGACCUCAUAAAGUAUGUCGUAGUCCGGAUUGGAGUCUGCAACUCGACUCCAUGAAGUCGGAAUCGCUAGUAAUCGUAGAUCAGAAUGCUACGGUGAAUACGUUCCCGGGCCUUGUACACACCGCCCGUCACACCAUGGGAGUGGGUUGCAAAAGAAGUAGGUAGCUUAACCUUCGGGAGGGCGCUUACCACUUUGUGAUUCAUGACUGGGGUG
rnacentral:rRNA from 1 species